AGUCGAACGGAAAGGCCUACCACCUUGGUGGUGGGUACUCGAGUGGCGAACGGGUGAGUAACACGUGGGUGAUCUGCCCCGCACUGUGGGAUAAGCCUGGGAAACUGGGUCUAAUACCACAUACGACCACACUGUAGACAGUGUGGUGGAAAGCCUUGUGCGGUGUGGGAUGAGCCCGCGGCCUAUCAGCUUGUUGGUGGGGUAAUGGCCUACCAAGGCGGCGACGGGUAGCCGGCCUGAUAGGGUGGACGGCCACAUUGGGACUGAGACACGGCCCAGACUCCUACGGGAGGCAGCAGUGGGGAAUAUUGCACAAUGGGCGCAAGCCUGAUGCAGCGACGCCGCGUGGGGGAUGAAGGCCUUCGGGUUGUAAACUCCUUUCGCCCGGGACGAAGCCCACCUGGUGGGUGACGGUACCGUGSAKAAGAAGCACCGGCUAACUACGUGCCAGCAGCCGCGGUAAUACGUAGGGUGCAAGCGUUGUCCGGAUUUACUGGGCGUAAAGAGCUCGUAGGUGGUGUGUCGCGUCGUCUGUGAAAUUCCGGGGCUUAACUCCGGGCGUGCAGGCGAUACGGGGCACGACUAGAGUGCUGUARGGGUAACUGGGAAUUCCCUGGUGUAGCGRUGAAAUGCGCASAUAUCAGGAGGCACACCGAUGGGCGAAGGCAGGUUACUGGGCAGUUACUGACGCUGAGGAGCGAAAGCAUGGGCAGCGAACAGGAUUAGAUACCCCUGGUAGWUCCAUGCUGUAAACGGUGGGGCGGCUAGGUGUKGGG
rnacentral:rRNA from 1 species